rnacentral:lncRNA from 1 species
UCUAUAUUCACUUACCUGUUGUCAAACUAUAUGCAACAGCUUCUUCUAGUAAAAGGAAUGACUGGAAUUGUGACCAGCAGCUCAGCUGAAUGAAGACCUAAAAAGAGGAUAGUCCUGAGCGAUGAGGACUUCCCAUUUCCUGAGCCUGCAGUCACGUUUGUGAAGUUCAGAUGUUCUCCAGAUCAAGCCAUUAUGGAGAAAUGUGUUUUUUUCUGAUCAUAAUAAUUAGUGAUGAAAAGAUAACUGAAAUCCCUGGGAUUUUGGAGGACAGCUUCUGUCAGCACAGUCUUCUCUUUGUUCAACUGUACAGAGGCACCCAGAAGCAGCAGGGAACAGCAAGAAAAACAAGAGGAGACAAAGCAGGAAGGCUGCACACCAUGACCUGGGGACUCUCAUGGCAGCACGCAUGCUGGGAAGGUGAGCUCCACACCAAGCACUGAACUUGUCCUGUCCCAACCUGCAGUAAGUGCCCACUGCUUCUGCACACGUGAUGCUUGCCUUGGAGUUGUGGCUCUUUCAGAGAGCUGUUGUGAAGGAGGUACACAAAGAUGAUAAUCCUGGAAAAAGAAGGCUCUAAAGAUCCGCAGGUCACCGUGUGUGGCGUUGGUGUCUGCAGAAUGUCCGUACCUGAAGAAUCUGCCAAGCACUAUUUGAUGUUGUUCCUUGCUGGGGAUGUGUGUUUUGGCACCCUGUCCAUUAACACUCCCUGAAAUAGGGAGACAGAUCUGUGAGAUGGAAAUUUCUGACCUCUUGUAAAUGAGGCUUUUAUUCUCAGCAAGCUUGGUAUCCCUAAAUGUACAGUUAAUAUUCUUCUGUAUCAGGAAAAGCUGCUCAGAUACGUGGUCUCAACUGAUUCAGGCUUCAAGUUGGAAAGUUUUUCGUGCUGUUUAUAGAUGGAGAUGGUGGCUCUGCAUAUGCUGGUGUAUGUUGUUCCUAAAAGUAAUGACAUUUCCUUUAGACACCUAAGUUCUGAACCAAGAAUCUUGUUUCUGGAGGGCUGUGAAAUGCACGUAGCGCCGCACUGAAUCGAUGGGAUUAAUGAGUUCUCUCUACCUGUUUUGUUCGCUAAUGUCUGCUCUUCUGAAUUGGUUUGUUUUGCUUAACACACACGCUGUAUCAACCUAACUAUGUAGUUUUGGGCUAGAAGUCAGGUUUUCUGUGUUGCUAUCAGGUCUUCAACUUUUCAAAAUGAAAGGUCUUUAAUAUUAGUCUGGUUUUGAGCCAAUUUCUUAAUAAGAAUAACGUAUUAUAAAUUGCUGAAA